rnacentral:rRNA from 1 species
UACGGAGGGUGCAAGCGUUGUUCGGAAUUACUGGGCGUAAAGGGCGCGUAGGCGGUGUGGUAAGUCAGAUGUGAAAGCCCUGGGCUUAACCCAGGAAGUGCAUUUGAAACUGCCAUGCUUGAGUAUGGGAGAGGAGAGUGGAAUUCCCAGUGUAGAGGUGAAAUUCGUAGAUAUUGGGAGGAACACCCGUGGCGAAGGCGACUCUCUGGACCAAUACUGACGCUGAGGCGCGAAAGCGUGGGGACCAAACAGG